AAGAGAAGAUCAAUGUCACAAUUUGAGCUUGCUAUAGUAAGAAAGUCUAACCUAUUCUGGUGGUCUCUUUUCUGUGAGACAAGCCGUUACAUGGGCUUGAACAGU
ensembl:snoRNA